UACGUGUGUGUGUAUGUGUACAUACAUAUGUAUACACACAUACCCAUACACACACACACACACGCACGUGUGCACACACAUA
rnacentral:pre_miRNA from 14 species